rnacentral:rRNA from 1 species
GUAAACGGCGGCCGUAACUAUAACGGUCCUAAGGUAGCGAAAUUCCUUGUCGGGUAAGUUCCGACCUGCACGAAUGGCGUAACGAUGGCCACACUGUCUCCACCCGAGACUCAGUGAAAUUGAAAUCGCUGUGAAGAUGCAGUGUACCCGCGGCUAGACGGAAAGACCCCGUGAACCUUUACUAUAGUUUUGCACUGGACUUUGAUGAUGACUGUGUAGGAUAGGUGGGAGGCUGUGAAGUGAGGACGCUAGUUCUCAUGGAGCCGCCCUUGAAAUACCACCCUGUUGUUAUUGAGGUUCUAACUUGGUCCAGUAAUCCUGGAUGAGGACAGUGUAUGAUGGGUAGUUUGACUGGGGCGGUCUCCUCCCAAAGAGUAACGGAGGAGCACAAAGGUACCCUCGGUACGGUCGGACAUCGUACCAAGAGUGUAAAGGCAAAAGGGUGCUUGACUGCGAGAGUGACGGCUCGAGCAGGAACGAAAGUUGGUCUUAGUGAUCCGGUGGUUCUGAAUGGAAGGGCCAUCGCUCAACGGAUAAAAGGUACUCCGGGGAUAACAGGCUGAUACCGCCCAAGAGUUCAUAUCGACGGCGGUGUUUGGCACCUCGAUGUCGGCUCAUCACAUCCUGGGGCUGAAGCAGGUCCCAAGGGUAUGGCUGUUCGCCAUUUAAAGUGGUACGCGAGCUGGGUUUAGAACGUCGUGAGACAGUUCGGUCCCUAUCUGCCGUGGGCGUAGGAAAAUUGAGAGGAGCUGCUCCUAGUACGAGAGGACCGGAGUGGACGAACCUCUGGUGCACCGGUUGUCACGCCAGUGGCAUGGCCGGGUAGCUAAGUUCGGACGGGAUAACCGCUGAAAGCAUCUAAGCGGGAAGCCUCCCUCAAGAUGAGUUUUCCCAUGAAGCCCGUUGAAGACUACGACGUUGAUAGGCAAGGUGUGGAAGCGCAGUAAUGCGUGAAGCUAACUUGUACUAAUUGGCUGAUUGUCUUGACCA